rnacentral:rRNA from 1 species
AGCGAACGCUGGCGGCAGGCCUAACACAUGCAAGUCGAACGAACCCUUCGGGGUUAGUGGCGGACGGGUGAGUAACACGUGGGAACGUGCCUUUAGGUUCGGAAUAACUCAGGGAAACUUGUGCUAAUACCGAAUGUGCCCUUCGGGGGAAAGAUUUAUCGCCUUUAGAGCGGCCCGCGUCUGAUUAGCUAGUUGGUGAGGUAAUGGCUCACCAAGGCUACGAUCAGUAGCUGGUCUGAGAGGAUGACCAGCCACAUUGGGACUGAGACACGGCCCAAACUCCUACGGGAGGCAGCAGUGGGGAAUCUUGCGCAAUGGGCGAAGGCCUGACGCAGCCGUGCCGCGUGGAUGAUGAGGGUCUUAGGAUUGUAAAAUCCUUUCACCGGUGAAGAUAAUGACUGUAGCCGGAGAAGAAGCCCCGGCUAACUUCGUGCCAGCCGCCGCAGUAACAC